CUGAGAGGGUUACCCUCCACACUGGAACUGAGACAAGGACCAGACUUCUACGGAAGGCAGCAGUGAGGAAUAUUGGUCAAUGGAGGAAACUCUGAACCAGCUAUGCCGCGUGUACGGAUGACAGUCUUUUAGAUUGUAAACUACUUUUACAUAGAAAUAAAAGUUACUACGUGAUAGUAAUCUGAAGGUACUAUGCGAAUAAGUGUCGGCUAAUUUCGUGCCAGCAGCCGCGGUAAUACGAAAGACACAAGCGUUAUCCGGAUUUAUUGGGUUUAAAGGGUGUGUAGGCUGUUUAUUAAGUCAGUAGUGAAAGCUUACAGCUUAACUGUAAAAUUGCUAUUGAUACUGAUAAUCUUGAGUAAGAUUGGAGCAUCUGGAAUGUAUGGUGUAGCGGUGAAAUGCAUAGAUAUCAUACAGAACACCAAUAGCGAAGGCAGGAUGCUAAAUCUUUACUGACGCUGAGGCACGAAAGCGUGGGUAGCAAACAGGAUUAGAUACCCUGGUAGUCCACGCCCUAAACUAUGAUCACUAGCUAUUGGAAAAAUUAUAUUCAGUGGCUAAGCUAAAGCGAUAAGUGAUCCACCUGGGAAGUACGAUCGCAAGAUUGAAACUCAAAGGAAUUGACGGGGUUCCGCACAAGCGGUGGAGCAUGUGGUUUAAUUCGAUGAUACGCGAGGAACCUUACCAAGGUUUAAAUGUAUUACGAAUAAGCUGGAAACAACUUAGUCUAUAAGACGUAAUACAAGGUGCUGCAUGGUUGUCUUCAGUUCGUGCUGUGAAGUGUUUGGUUAAGUCCUAUAACGAGCGCAACCCCUAUUGUUAGUUGCCAUCGGGUAAAGCCGGGGACUCUAACAAAACUGCCGGUGUAAAU
rnacentral:rRNA from 1 species